GAAAUCUUUGUUCAAAACCUUUGUUUUGUCUCAUAAUGGUGUUUCACAUUGUCACUUUUAAUAAGUGUCACAGUUUCUGUACAUAUGAGACACACUGGUUUAGUGUGAAGUGGGAAGUGUGAACAGAAAUGAGUCUCUUUCUCACUCGUCUACAACUGGUCUGUGCGUUUCCACUACCACUACCGUAAAGAUAGCAAAAGCUGCGCCGGUUAAAAUAGAAGCGCUUCGUCAAGUUUUAAAUCAGAACCUUUUGUUUGGGCUGUAGGUCCGGGUCCGUAUUGGGCAGCUUCUGGGUCCGGACCCGGACCGCGGUCCGCCUGUUAGUGACCUAUGGUCUAAAAUGUAGGUCAUGCUAAUGUGGUCAUGUGGUGUUUCUCUCUCACAGCUGAUGGACAUCAAAACACUUGAGGCCACAACCUCGAUGGCUCAGGUCUUUUUGGGUCUCACAAUGUUAGGCGACAACAUCGGCCACAUCGCCAAGGAGGUGAGGUGCGGUGGAAGUAAUCAUCACCGUAAUCACCGUAAUCAUCGGCUUUGCAGCAGUGGCUAUUAUUCUGGAGGUCCUGUUGCUCCUUUUCCUUGGCUUCAUCUUUGUGGAGAACACCACGAGGCCAAAAAAAAAUUAAAAGGAUGAAUUUCCUUUUCUUGGCCUGCGUCACCACGCACUGGUUGUUGAAGGUGGUGAUCAUCGCCCUGGUGCAGCAGGAGGAAUGUGCAAGAAAUCCUCAAGAGGAUGGAUGAGCUCAAAAUUACAACUAUAAAUGAUUAAUGUAUGAACUAAU